rnacentral:rRNA from 1 species
GGGGAAUAUUGCGCAAUGGGGGAAACCCUGACGCAGCAACGCCGCGUGCGGGAUGAAGGCCUUCGGGUUGUAAACCGCUUUCAGCAGGGACGAAGGGUUUCUGACGGUACCUGCAGAAGAAGCACCGGCUAACUCCGUGCCAGCAGCCGCGGUAAUACGGAGGGUGCAAGCGUUACUCGGAAUCACUGGGCGUAAAGAGCACGUAGGCGGCCUUGCAAGUCAGAUGUGAAAUCCAACGGCUUAACCGUUGAACUGCAUUUGAAACUGCAAGGCUAGAGUAUGGGAGAGGUAGGUGGAAUUCUCGGUGUAGGGGUAAAAUCCGUAGAGAUCGAGAGGAAUACUCAUUGCGAAGGCGACCUGCUGGAACAUUACUGACGCUGAGGUGCGAAAGCGUGGGGAGCAAACA